CGAAUAACUGCCCUAUCAGCCAGUGAUGGCCGUGUAGUGGACUGCCAUGGCGUUGACGGGAGCGGGGGAUUAGGGUUCGAUUCCGGAGAGGGAGCCUGAGAAAUAGCUACCACUUCUACGGAGGGCAGCAGGCGCGCAAAUUGCCCAAUGUCAAAAAAAAACGAUGAGGCAGCGAAGAGAAAUAGAGCCGACGGUGCCUAGUGCAUUGUCGUAUUCAAUGGGGGAUAUCUAAACCCAUCCAAAAUCGAGUAACAAUUGGAGGACAAGUCUGGUGCCAGCACCCGCGGUAAUUCCAGCUCCAAAAGCGUAUAUUAAUGCUGUUGCUGUUAAAGGGUUCGUA
rnacentral:rRNA from 1 species